GUGGGGAAUAUUGGGCAAUGGGCGAAAGCCUGACCCAGCAACGCCGCGUGAAGGAAGAAGGUUUUCGGAUCGUAAACUUCUAUCCUUGGUGAAGAUAAUGACGGUAGCCAAGAAGGAAGCCCCGGCUAACUACGUGCCAGCAGCCGCGGUAAUACGUAGGGGGCAAGCGUUGUCCGGAAUGAUUGGGCGUAAAGGGCGCGUAGGCGGCCCGGUAAGUCUGAAGUGAAAGUCCUGCUUUUAAGGUGGGAAUUGCUUUGGAUACUGUCGGGCUUGGGUGCAGGAGAGGUAAGCGGAAUUCCCGGUGUAGCGGUGAAAUGCGUAGAGAUCGGGAGGAACACCAGUGGCGAAGGCGGCUUACUGGACUGUAACUGACGCUGAGGCGCGAAAGCGUGGGGAUCGAACAGGAUUAGAUACCCGAGUAGUCC
rnacentral:rRNA from 1 species